rnacentral:rRNA from 1 species
UACGGGGGGGGCAAGCGUUGUUCGGAAUUACUGGGCGUAAAGGGCUCGUAGGCGGCCAACUAAGUCGGACGUGAAAUCCCCAGGCUCAACCUGGGAACUGCGUCCGAUACUGGAUGGCUUGAAUUCGGGAGAGGGAUGCAGAAUUCCAGGUGUAGCGGUGAAAUGCGUAGAUAUCUGGAGGAACACCGGUGGUGAAGGCGGCUUCCUGGUCCAGCACCGACGUUCAGGCACGAAAGCGUGGGGAGCAAACAGG